GUGUAACAAAGCAUCCCCAAAGUCACAGGCUUACAACAGUAAUCACUCAUACUUGAAGAUUCUUUAUGUCCUGAAGGUCUUUAAUUUGCCAGGCAUUGAGUUCAAUCCGGUUUGGUUUCUCCACAUUAAUGACUGGGUGUGCCAGCACUCUGUGGACACAUUCUCCUUUCCCUAUCGAUCUGCUGCAUCAGAAAAAUCAAGCAUCUGCACAUGUGAGGACCUGCUUUUGCUCUUGGUUUGACUGUCCUCACUGUACCGAAACCACACUGUCUUACUUAAAUAGUAAGUUUAAAGAUAAAGCCUGGCUGUGGGCUUCCCCGAGUGGCUCAGUGAUAAAGAAUCCUCCUGCCAAUGCAGGAGACACGAGUUCGAUCCCUGGUCUGGGAAGAUCCCACAUGCCGCAGAACAACUAAGCCUGUGCACUGCAACUAUUGAGCCUGUGCUCUAGGGCCCUGCAGCUGCAACUUCUGAGCUCACGUGCGGCAACUACGGAAGCCUGUGUGCCCCAGAGCCUGUGCGCCACAACAAGAGAAGCCACCGCGAUGAGAAGCCAGACACUGCAACUGGAGAGUAGCCCCCGCUCGCUAGCGCAGCAAUGAAGAUCCAGCACAGCCAAAACUAAAUAAAUAGAACAAAUAAAAUUAUUAUUAAAAAAAAAAAGCCUGACUCCUUCUUGCUUUGACACCUGUGGAAAAUUCAAACUGCAUGCACAACCAUCACCCUGAACUGACCUGCUAACCAUUAUAAAACCCCCAAGCCAGUCUUCUCUCCCUGUUCUCACAGGCCGUUUUUGGACUUGCUUGGGAGCUGCCCUGCUACUCCAGAAAGCCUCAUUAUGGGAAUCAUGAAGUCUUUUGGACCCCCUUGGUGUGUGUGUGACUUUGUCAUUCUCAACGACUGAGCUGGGUGUGGAGUCCACCUUUUCUCAGCGUGGGAUGCCCAUAACAAAACAGAUCCUCCUUCAGAGCACGAAUACCACCUGAUAUAA
ensembl:lncRNA